UAGGAUCAGUAAAAAGGGUCUCAAUCCAUACACUUAAGGAGGGAGACUCCUUGGAGUUUGGGCUGCAUGAAAAGGCUUCUAAGAUUCUGCAUGGCCUAGUCUGCCAAACGGAAGUUGUGAGUGAUAUUGUAGCAACCAAAUAACUGAACAACAGGUCCUGUGUCUUCUUCAGUUACAGCAGCAAGCAAGAGAGUCAGGCAAACAGGAGCAUCAUGAGGAGAGACAGAACCCACAUGUUCCCGUUUUACCUGCACAAAAUGGAAUUGUACCUGAACAAAAUUAGAAGCAAAAUGGAGGAGACAGGGUGACCAAUGCAAGAAGACAUGACCGGGAUACGGAGUGAAUUGAAAAUACAGCAGAAGAUAUAACAGAUGGGGAAACG